UUUCCCCCAUUUUUCACUUCACAAUGAAACUUCACAUCUCAACUCUCAUUACUACUAUUCUCAUAUCUCUAUCAUUAGUUUCGAUUGUUCAAUCAACUCAGCCACCUUUCUCUUGCGAUUCGUCGAAUCCGCAAACCAAAUCGUUAAAAUUUUGCCAAACAGGACUUCCAAUUAGUGUACGUGUACUAGACCUUGUUUCUCGACUCACACUCGAUGAGAAAAUAUCUCAACUAGUUAACUCAGCUCCUGCAAUACCCAGACUCGGUAUUCCGGCGUAUGAGUGGUGGUCGGAAUCAUUGCACGGCGUUGGUUCUGCCGGAAAAGGUAUUUUCUUCAAUGGGAGUAUUGCCGGAGCCACCAGUUUUCCCCAAGUUAUUCUCACUGCUGCUACUUUUGAUGAAAAUCUAUGGUACCGCAUUGGUCAGGUGAUUGGAGUAGAGGCCAGGGGAGUAUACAAUGCAGGUCAAGCAAUAGGUAUGACAUUUUG
rnacentral:misc_RNA from 1 species